rnacentral:rRNA from 1 species
CACGUAGGGUGCGAGCGUUGUCCGGAAUUAUUGGGCGUAAAGAGCUCGUAGGCGGUGUGUCGCGUCGGCCGUGAAAAUCCGGGGCUCAACCCCGGACUUGCAGUGGGUACGGGCAGACUAGAGUGUGGUAGGGGAGACUGGAAUUCCUGGUGUAGCGGUGAAAUGCGCAGAUAUCAGGAGGAACACCGAUGGCGAAGGCAGGUCUCUGGGCCACUACUGACGCUGAGAAGCGAAAGCAUGGGGAGCGAACAGG